GACGAACGCCGGCGGCGUGCCUAAUACAUGCCAGUCGAGCGGACGAAUCGAAAGCUUGCUUUUGAUUCGUUAGCGGCGGACGGGUGAGUAACACGUGGGCAACCUGCCCUGUAGACGGGGAUAACACCGAGAAAUCGGUGCUAAUACCGGAUAACACGAAAUGUCGCAUGACGUUUCGUUGAAAGACGGCGCACGCUGCCGCUACAGGAUGGGCCCGCGGCGCAUUAGCUAGUUGGUGCGGUAACGGCUCACCAAGGCGACGAUACGUAGCCGACCUGAGAGGGUGAUCGGCCACACUGGGACUGAGACACGGCCCAGACUCCUACGGGAGGCAGCAGUAGGGAAUCUUCCGCAAUGGACGAAAGUCUGACGGAGCAACGCCGCGUGAGCGAAGAAGGCCUUCGGGUCGUAAAGCUCUGUUGUUAGGGAAGAACAAGUAACGCAGUAACUGGCGUUACCGUGACGGUACCUAACGAGAAAGCCACGGCUAACUACGUG
rnacentral:rRNA from 1 species